rnacentral:lncRNA from 1 species
UUCGGCGUUACCAGGAGAGACAUGCCACCAUUAGGGCUUCAUUUCCCUGCAGUCUUCUUUAAAUACCAAAACUGCCCUGGGAAGGAUAAGACAUCAGUUUCUUCAUACUUCAGAGCAAAUGGGAUUGAUUCCCAGGACCUCCUUUCUGUGGACUGGGUUUUUGCCUCCUCACCAAGAGACUGGGCUCCCUGGGCGAGCAGAGGCUGCUGGGUUCAGUAUCUGAACACUUUUGCUAAAGGUCUCUGGAAAGCUCCCUGUGUUAAUUCUCGAUGAGACUACGUCUGUGCCGGCCGCUUCCUGAGCCUCCUUCCAUGUGCAUAGGCCUGCUGCAUGCUGGAGACCUGCGGCACAGCUGCCAAGUGCCCCGUGUGGUUCUGUGAUCUUGGGACAGUCACUUCCUCUCUGUGGUUGUCAGUCUUCUCAUCCCUAAGAUGGAAUAAAAAGGCCUACCUCAUUGGGCUCGUGUGGGUGAGGAGAACUGAAGAGUCUGAGAGCGCGGCACGAGCCAGAGGCUACGGAAAACACUGCCCUCCUACACUCCACCUUGGAGAGACCCAGAAAAGAACAAGCUUCAUUUGUAAAAAAGGAAAACAACUCAGGCAAUGGGGGUGGCUUAAAGGCACUCUACAGUGUGCAGAUGCCUUCCACUUCUUCCAUCUGCCCUGUCUCUCCAAGAACCCCUAUGGCCCCGGUCUCAGAACAGAGCUGAGUGCAGAAAUGAAAAUCUAUGGCUCUGUGUUCCAAAACGAUGAAGAAUUUCAAGAUGGUGGCAGUGGUAAAAUCUUUCUCCAGGAAAAAUCUGUCCUUGGCCCAAUGUGUAAACACUUGCUGAGGAACUUGGAAUAACUUGCAGUGUCUUGCAGUAUUGUGAAACCAGCAACUUGUUCACAAUUCUUCUGAAUUUCUUGGGAAAUUUGAAGUGGAGUACCUGUACCAACAUGAAAUGACACGAAUUUAAGUGACGCUCAACAACGAAAAGCAAAAAGAACCAAAGAGGAAGCAACUGAAACAACAUCUGGAUGUAUUUAAAAAUAUACAAUGCCUCCAAAAUCAGGUGUCAUUAAUGAAAAUUCUGAAGAAAUGCCACCGGACAUAGCCAACGCACCUACGCUGUUGUUAUUCAUUUCCUGCUUUUCACAGAAAACAAUUUUGUUGCAUGGAAGAUCG